AGAUGAAAAAUUAGCAAGCACUUUGCAAUAGUUACAAUAAAAUAGAUACAUUGGUACUUUUAAAGGAAGUGAAUCAAAAACCCUUAAUGAGAAAGACAGAUACCAAAUUUGGAGCAUUCACCAAAGAUCACUGGAAUAGUAGCAAGAACUCCCAAAUAGUUUAAAAGAUAAAUACAACUUAAGAAAAGAACAGAUUCCCAGGAGGAAACUGUGAGGAGGUGGGAUAUCCAGAACAAGCAAUGCCUUUUGACUGUGUGCUGUCACCAAGGACUUCAUUGGUUUGGUCCCGACCAGCAUGUUCUACCUAGACUGCAAGCCAGCCUUGCCUCUGCCCAAGUUUAGCAAAAGCUUUCUCAGAACAGAGAGCAGUGAAGGGUUGGGGACUGAGACCAGGAUGCUGCACUGGCAGGGGUCUGAGAAGAGCUAUUCUGGAGAAAGCUGAGAAGCCGCAUUCAGGGAUGUAUACGACAUUGGGUAAGAAUGCCCUUGAGAACCAGAAACAGCUGAAAAUCCACGUGACCGAAGUGGAGGAAGAAGUGAACACCUUGCUGAAAAUCAACAGACCUUUUCGACAUUUCCAGUUUAUCAUCACGAAGUUACCCGAGUGACUCACACAACCACCAGCCCUCCCUGAACCUGUUGACAUCAUCCAUGAGCUCUAGCAGCAGAACGUGGUUCAUGCCGCACACACCAGAACAUUCUCUCUGUCUGCCCUCCAGAUACAGACCCUCCUUGGACAAUACUGAACAAGCCUUCGUGUGACAGCCCGGGCUCUGGGGCUGGUCAGCGGGCUCGGUGGUCAACAGCCAUUGAAGCUGCACUUGUGGUGAGAGUUGUGAGACACAGGCUUUGUCUCCUCAGACGGCUGACUGACUCUUCACAAUCGUCGUUGCGGGAUCUGAGAGAGAACCUCAACGCUCCAAGGAGGGGAAAACCCCUGUCACCACAAGGUCUCCAGGGGCCACGUGUAAAGUAACUAGCUCAGUUACCCACCGACUGAGAGUUGCCUACGGACAAAGGAGGAUGUGGCUCCUUUGAGUGCUCCAAGACUGAUCCUGAGAACCUUGCUCAUUUUCUUCUUUCUCAUCACUCCCAGGAUUUCAUACCAGAUCUGGUACAGGGGGAAAUAACAAGACAAAGUCAUCUUGGACUAUCAUUGAAUAAACCAAGAAAUCAACUGAGACUCUUGUCUAAGAUCAGAUAAAAAUGUUAAAAAAGCAAAUGCUUUACGCAUUUAUUUGAACCUCUUUUCCAUGAAAAUGGAAUAAGAAUGAACUGGAAAAUAUAUGUACGCUUAUCCAAGACAAUUCCAAAGGAUUCAUAAAGAAAAAUGCAAUACACCCCCAGAAAGAAUACCCAAGUGAUUGUCUCCUUCUCCCCCAAUGCUUUCAGGACUCACAAAGUGAUUUCUAAAUCUCCUUCUUUGCCAUUCUCACUGCUAAAGAUGAUGCAUAAUAAAUUCAGCUUCAGCCUCUUACCUUGAAUCUGUGUAUGUCAACCUGAAUCUUAUGUGUUUCUUGUAAACAACUUAUGGAAGGAUUCUGCUUUUUAAUCCUCUCUGCUUCCAUU